rnacentral:rRNA from 1 species
AGAUUGAACGCUGGCGGCAGGCCUAACACAUGCAAGUCGAGCGGUAGAGAGGUGCUUGCAUCUCUUGAGAGCGGCGGACGGGUGAGUAAUGCCUAGGAAUCUGCCUAGUGGUGGGGGAUAACGUUCGGAAACGGACGCUAAUACCGCAUACGUCCUACGGGAGAAAGCGGGGGACCUUCGGGCCUCGCCGCCAUUAGAUGGAG